rnacentral:rRNA from 1 species
UACAGAGGGUGCAAGCGUUAAUCGGAAUUACUGGGCGUAAAGCGCGCGUAGGUGGUUCGUUAAGUUGGAUGUGAAAGCCCCCGGGCUCAACCUGGGAACUGCAUUCAAAAACUGCGAGCUAGAGUAUGGUAGAGGGUGGUGGAAUUUCCUGUGUAGCGGUGAAAUGCGUAGAUAUAGGAGGAACACCAGUGGCGAAAGCGACUUUCUGGUCCUUAACUGACGCUGAGGCGCGAAAGCAUGGGGAGCGAACGGG